ACUAAAUAUUUUCGAAUUGGAGCCAGAUCGUUUUAAAACAAAACGAUACGCUAUGAAACAACUAGGUGUCUGAUUUGUUCGUUGUCUACCUACUUUCGCCCUUGUUUCGAAGACUAACAAUGUUGUUUGGUAGUAGUUCGCUGCGGUUUUCUCCCCUCCAGCCUCUGUCAGCUGAUAGCAAUGAUGUGUAUUGUAUGAAGCGUUACAUAUGAGACGUUGGUAUAUGAGGGACUGUGAAAAGACUGGUGGCCCUGGUGGCAUGUCUGGUGGGCUCUCAACCACACAGCUGAACAAUAAUCAAGAGAAGACAAAACUAGAGCCUGGAGGACUUGCUUUUUGGAGUGUGGUGUCAAAAAAGCAGAGCAUCUCUUUAUUACAGACAGACCUCUCCUAAAUCUUUACAACCAUUGAAUCUUUAUGUUUUGACCAUGACAGUUUACAAUCUAAGGUAACAAGUAAUUUAGUCUCCUCAACUUGUUCAACAGCCAUUACCAGAUUCAGCUGAGGUCUAGAAUGCCGCAAUACUGAUUAUUGGACGACACUACAACUCAUCAUAACAGACACGUGUAUCACCUCAAAUAUCUCAUAUCAUAUACUCAUACUACAUUCGGUUACAUUCUACUAUUGUUUACAUAUUGCGCGUCAUGUUCAAUGGGCCAAGAGAAUGAAAAUACAAGCGACAGAACCUAGCAACACUUUCCAGUGGAUAUCUCCAACUCCUACUGCCAAAAGGACCAGCAGCAUGUACAACCGGUAAAUCUGCUGUUUAGGCAAGCCCCAAGACAGAGCCUCUCCAACCCAAAGUUGUCCAACCAUCCCUACUUCACCCUGGAGAGACUGGGGCCUGUGCUUAGACCGCUGGCAGGUGGAGGUACAGUCAGAGGCCUGAACAGCGACUCCUUCAACUCUCUAUCGGUUUCUUACUUGUAGUCUUGUUUUAUUCUCACUCUGAACUGCUGCUACUUCAUGUAGUAGGUGUAUGGAUGCUCCAUUUGUGUAACGGCAUUGUUGUCAUCUCCUCUUUCUCCUCUUUCUCUAAUGUUUAUCUUCACUGAUACGCAAGUAUUUUAAAGUGUGCCCGACAACUGAUGUAAAAGGGCUUUAUAAAUAAAUUUGAUUGUACGCAAGUCUUUAUACUGCAUGUAUUGGUUAUCUAAUCUUUCUCACUGGUAGGGUUCUGUUUUUUUCUGAGAUGGUUUCACUACGACAGGUGAUGAUACCAGGCAAGUAAUACGCCAGUCAUCUGACGAUUUCACUGUCAAUAGUUUUACUUUUCUUCUGACCAACACGUUCCUCGCCUUUCCCACCUUCCCGGUUCUCCCCCAGUGGACAGUGUGUGACUUGAGUUUAAUCAGUCGUCUGCGGUGGAUCGUGGACUUGUGCAACCUGUGGUUAUACUGGACCUCGCUGAGGUGCACUGGGGCCAGGCUGAAGGUCUAGGAUGAUCCGAGUCCAGUAUUAGCAGGAGAGGAGAUAAGCAGAUUCCCCUCUAUACUGGCUCGCUUCUGAGUGGCUCUGUCUGUCGGCGCACUACAGAUAUGCACCUUCUGACGGUCUGCAUGGGAAUCAGUUUUGCCUUUUCACUUUUCACUUCUCACAAACAAAACAACUGCCAAAUCAACAUCCACAAUAAUCAAAAUAAGAGAUGGACGGAUGGGAAUAGCAAAAGGAGACCUGACCUGAUUCUCGGCCAAAUAACUUAUAGAUUUGCGCUGCUUUUAUAUUAUGACAAGUAACGGGGACUCCAAAUGAUGAUGGAUCACUGUUCGUUUGUUGUUCUAAUGAUAAUAUACACGGUUUGCAUUGAUACAAUUUCAGUUGCUGCCCUUUGAAAUGUUGCUUGAGUAGUAAUAUUGUAAUAAAGAAAAGUUUCAAGACA